AACGAACGCUGGCGGCAUGCCUAACACAUGCAAGUCGAACGAGACCUUCGGGUCUAGUGGCGCACGGGUGCGUAACGCGUGGGAACCUGCCCUUAGGUUCGGAAUAACUCCCCGAAAGGGGUGCUAAUACCGGAUAAUGUCUUCGGACCAAAGAUUUAUCGACUUUGGAUGGGCCCGCGUUGGAUUAGCUUGUGGGUAGGGUAAAAGCCUACCAAGGCGACGAUCCAUAGCUGGUCUGAGAGGAUGAUCAGCCACACUGGGACUGAGACACGGCCCAGACUCCUACGGGAGGCAGCAGUGGGGAAUAUUGGACAAUGGGCGAAAGCCUGAUCCAGCAAUGCCGCGUGAGUGAUGAAGGCCUUAGGGUUGUAAAGCUCUUUUACCCGGGAUGAUAAUGACAGUACCGGGAGAAUAAGCACCGGCUAACUCCGUG
rnacentral:rRNA from 1 species